UACAGAGGGUGCAAGCGUUAUUCGGAAUUACUGGGCGUAAAGCGUGCGCAGACGGUUGCGUAAGUCAGAUGUGAAAGCCCCGGGCUCAACCUGGGAAUUGCAUUUGAGACUGCGUGGCUAGGGUGCGGAAGAGGGAAGCGGAAUUUCCGGUGUAGCGGUGAAAUGCGUAGAUAUCGGAAGGAACACCAGUGGCGAAAGCGGCUUCCUGGUCCAGCACCGACGUUCAGGCACGAAAGCGUGGGGAGCAAACAGG
rnacentral:rRNA from 1 species